GAAAUGCGAUAAGUAAUGUGAAUUGCAGAAUUCAGUGAAUCAUCGAAUCUUUGAACGCACAUUGCGCCCGCCAGUAUUCUGGCGGGCAUGCCUGUUCGAGCGUCAUUUCAACCCUCAAGCCCAGCUUGGUGUUGGGGAUCGGCACAGGCGCCCUCGGGCGCCCGCCGUCCCCUAAAUCUAGUGGCGGUCCCGCUGCAGCCUCCUCUGCGUAGUAGUUUUCUCCUCGCAAGGGCAGCUCGGUGGCGACCUCGCCGUAAAACCCCCAACUUCUGAAAGGUUGACCUCGAAUCAGGUAGGAAUACCCGCUGAACUUAA
rnacentral:misc_RNA from 1 species